UGAGCAAUAUGCUAAGAAUGAAAGUGGAAGUGGGGCUAGCUUGGCUAGGUUUGGAAAUGAAGAGCGUAGUUGCACAAGUUCCGAAAGUGUGGGUACUAAUAAGAAAGAUGCUUUAGCUAUUUACCAUUCAUUUCGGGCGUCCAAAAAUGUGAUGAUGUGUCGGACAGAGAUAGAGCAAUAUUAUACGGAAGAGGUGGAGACUCCAAGUGACAACUUUGAUAUUUUAAUGUGGUGGAGGGUAAAUAAGGUAAAGUUUCCGGUUCUCGCCGAGAUAGCACGAGAUGUCCUGGCAAUUCCACUUACUUCUGUUGCUUCUGAGUCGGCCUUUAGCACCGGAGGUCGCAUCAUAGAUCCUUUUCGGAGUUCUUUGGCUCCGAAAACAGUGGAAGCUCUUAUUUGUUGUCAAAAUUGGUUGAGAUCUUCUCCCAAUUUUCAGUAUGUUGAGUCACUCUUGCCUGACAUUGAAGAUGAAGAAAGCUACAAGCUUGAGUCGGAAAUUUUGUCUAAUUCCCUCACAUUUGACACGAAUUAAGGCUUAAUGGAUGAACUUUGCGGGGUAAUGUUUUGUUUAAAGUAUUUGGAAGCAAAUUUAAGGAAUUGAAGAUAAUCUAUGUUUGAGGUGGCUCAAGGAAAUUAUUGUGUAACCG